GUGCCAGCAGCCGCGGUAAUACGUAGGUGGCAAGCGUUGUCCGGAAUUAUUGGGCGUAAAGAGCGCGUAGGCGGGAAUGUAAGUCUGACUUAAAAGUUCGGGGCUCAACCCCGUGAGGAGUUAGAAACUAUAUUUCUUGAGUACCGGAGAGGAAAGUGGAAUUCCCAGUGUAGCGGUGAAAUGCGUAGAUAUUGGGAGGAACACCAGUGGCGAAGGCGACUUUCUGGACGGUGUCUGACGCUGAGGCGCGAAAGCCAGGGGAGUGAACGGGAUUAGAUACCCCGGUAAUCCUGGCCGUAAACGAUGGGUACUAGGUGUAGAGGGUAUCGACCCCUUCUGUGCCGGAGUUAACGCAAUAAGUACCCCGCCUGGGGAGUACGGCCGCAAGGUUGAA
rnacentral:rRNA from 1 species